UUCGUACUCCCUCCGCCCGGAAAUGCUUGUCGGAGAAAUAGAUGUAUCUAGAUGUAUUUUAGUUCAACGUACAUUCAUUUUUAUUCAUUUCCAUGAAAAGUAUUUCCGGACGGAGGGGGUAUAUA
rnacentral:pre_miRNA from 1 species